AUUGAACGCUGGCGGCAUGCCUUACACAUGCAAGUCGAACGGCAGCACGGGAGCAAUCCUGGUGGCGAGUGGCGAACAGGUGAGUAAUAUAUCGGAACGUGCCCAGUCGUGGGGGAUAACGCAGCGAAAGCUGUGCUAAUACCGCAUACGAUCUACGGAUGAAAGCGGGGGAUCGCAAGACCUCGCGCGAUUGGAGCGGCCGAUAUCAGAUUAGCUAGUUGGUGGGGUAGAGGCCCACCAAGGCGACGAUCUGUAGCUGGUCUGAGAGGACGACCAGCCACACUGGAACUGAGACACGGUCCAGACUCCUACGGGAGGCAGCAGUGGGGAAUGUUGGACAAUGGGCGCAAGCCUGAUCCAGCAAUGCCGCGUGCAGGAUGAAGGCCUUCGGGUUGUAAACUGCUUUUGUACGGAACGAAACGGCCCUUUCUAAUACAGGGGGCUAAUGACGGUACCGUAAGAAUAAGCACCGGCUAACUACGUGCCAGCCGCCGCCGUAA
rnacentral:rRNA from 1 species